rnacentral:rRNA from 1 species
UAGGGAAUCUUCCACAAUGGGCGAAAGCCUGAUGGAGCAACGCCGCGUGUGUGAUGAAGGGUUUCGGCUACGUAAAACACCGUUGUAAGAGAAGAAUGACAUUGAGAGUAACUGUUCAAUGUGUGACGGUAUCUUACCAGAAAGGAACGGCUAAAUACGUGCCAG